UACGUAGGGGGCAAGCGUUGUCCGGAUUUAUUGGGCGUAAAGAGCUCGUAGGCGGUUUGUCGCGUCUGCUGUGAAAACUCGGGGCUUAACUCCGGGCCUGCAGUGGGUACGGGCAGACUAGAGUGCGGUAGGGGAGACUGGAAUUCCUGGUGUAGCGGUGAAAUGCGCAGAUAUCAGGAGGAACACCGGUGGCGAAGGCGGGUCGCUGGGCCGUAACUGACGCUGAGGAGCGAAAGCGUGGGGAGCGAACAGG
rnacentral:rRNA from 1 species